rnacentral:lncRNA from 1 species
CACGGUUUUAGAAAGUCAGCUGAGGCCUGGUUGAGGCCUCGUGUGGUGGCACGUGCCUGUAAUUCCAGCCAUUUGGGAGACCAAAGCAGGAGGAUCACAAGUUUGAGUCCCAUCUGGGCAACAUAGUGAGACUCUAUUUUAAGAUUAAAAAAAAAAAAACUCAGUUACCCAAACAUGAAUAAAUAAAUAGCCAUGAGGUUGUAGUGUUUCAUACCCUGGAUCGUAUUUGUGGCCAUCAAUUAAAGGAUUAGUAUCAGCCGAUGUUAUCAUCAAAAACGUAUUCACAGGGGGUCUAAGAGCUGUCUGUCCUUCUCCCUGAAAGAAGCAAUGACAUCAGGAGGGUAUGUCACAAUCCACAGUUUAGUUAGAGGCUUUAACCUGGUUUGGAGUUUUAUUCCCUCAGCAUGAUCUUCUGACCCCUCAGUUUUACAACUCUCCACUCUGGGCGCUGCAUAGCACCUCUCCUCUUUUGAGUUAAUCAUUUCUUGGCCAUUAUCUGCCAAGAGUUCUUAUCUCCUCUGCUGUCACUUUAUAACAGGGACCUCUUAUCAACCUGCACAGGGUCAUGUGACCAGUCAAAGCCUAUCGCACGUUUCCAUUCCUGUGAUUAGAAACCAUCAUGAAACUGGUUACAUGGUUUACAGCGGGUCACCAAUGCUGGAGAGGGUACAGAGUCCAGGGAAAGACUUGCUCGUCACAAAAUAUGACAAGCUGCUCUUUUUCUCAUGCUCAAUGAUUUCUGCCUUAAGCCAAAGGACUGCCUAUAAUCUUACUAAGAAUGUCUUCUAAUUCCGAUACUGGGGAUAUACGAGAAUCUCUAAAGCACGGACUUACACCUAUUGAAAACACUGGAAAGGCAUGCAGAGUGCAACACAGAACCCAUUGCUCUGCGGGUAACAGCCGAAACACAGGUGCAAGAAGGGAGCCAGGAAAGACGCACGCAGAGGACUUCAGAGCUUUCUGGGCGCGCGCCGGGCAGCGUCCUCGCCGGCUGCGACUGAGCUCGGACCGGAUCCCGCCG